UUAACCUGCCAGUAGCUUUCUUGUGAUAAAAUAAAUUGCUUUUUAAGAAUGCUUUUGAGACAUAACAUACAAGACGUGGACAAUUACAUGUCAAGAAAAUAAUAAUAAUAAAUAUAAUUUUACGCGGCGUGCAUAGCGAACAACACUUAAACCAUUUAAAAAAAUAUCGUGAAUAUAAAUUCGUCUCGAAA